rnacentral:lncRNA from 1 species
AUAUAUCUGGGAGUCAUACGCUGGACACUACACUCCUGCAUUUGCAACUCAUGUGCCAAGGCGGAAUAGAACAAUGAGGGCAUUUACCUUGAUUUGAAGGUUUCAGUCAACUCCUUUUGGAUCUCCCCAUGUUGUAAAUUGUUAUGAAGGUUUUUGUAGUUUAAUCUUCUUUCUCAAGGUGUUUGCAAUUAGCAUGGCUUACAAAUCCAGUAUAAGGUAUGCACCAAUUAUGCAUUGGAUGUGGGUGUUCGGUGUCCCAUGUCAGUCUCAUGGACUUGAUUAAUUUGCAUACUGCAGAAUGCAGCAGUACUUUGCUCAACAAAGGUACAAGUUAAUCGAUUCAUCUAUUUGCUGGAUUAAAUAAUAUAUGCAUGAGCAUAUUCAGUUAAUUAGCAUGAGCAUAUCCAUCUUCUGAGGUAUACAUCAGAGAGAGGGAGAAUUCUUAUUAGCCUUGCUGCCUACUGACAUCGAAUUUAAUUUUAUCUUUUCUUUCAG